GACGAACGCUGGCGGCGCGCUUAACACAUGCAAGUCGAGCGAGAACCAGGCCUUCGGCCUGGGGACGAGCGGCGAACGGGUAGAGUAACACGUGGGUAAUCUGCCCUCGGCACUGGGAUAGCCCGGGGAAACCCGGAUUAAUACCGGAUGGCCUCUCGAGCUCUUGGGCUCGUGAGAAAAGGUAGCUUCGGCCUCCGGCCGAGGAGGAGCCCGCGGCGGAUUAGCUUGUUGGUGAGGUAAAAGCNCACCAAGGCGACGAUCCGUAGCUGGUGUGAGAGCAUGACCAGCCACACUGGGACUGAGACACGGCCCAGACUCCUACGGGA
rnacentral:rRNA from 1 species